rnacentral:rRNA from 1 species
UGUUUCGGCUAGGGGGCCAUCCCGGCUUACCAACCCGAUGCAAACUGCGAAUACCGGAGAAUGUUAUCACGGGAGACACACGGCGGGUGCUAACGUCCGUCGUGAAGAGGGAAACAACCCAGACCGCCAGCUAAGGUCCCAAAGUCAUGGUUAAGUGGGAAACGAUGUGGGAAGGCCCAGACAGCCAGGAUGUUGGCUUAGAAGCAGCCAUCAUUUAAAGAAAGCGUAAUAGCUCACUGGUCGAGUCGGCCUGCGCGGAAGAUGUAACGGGGCUAAACCAUGCACCGAAGCUGCGGCAGCGAACGUAUCACUUAAAGCGAUUCAGCGGGUUACGAUUGACGGAGCGAAGCGACGUCAAAGCGUAUACAAAGUCGAGUCGGUUUAAGGAUACGUUCGUUGGGUAGGGGAGCGUUCUGUAAGCCUGUGAAGGUGUGUCGUGAGGCAUGCUGGAGGUAUCAGAAGUGCGAAUGCUGACAUAAGUAACGAUAAAGCGGGUGAAAAGCCC